AUUGAACGCUGGCGGCAUGCCUUACACAUGCAAGUCGAACGGUAACAGGUCUUCGGAUGCUGACGAGUGGCGAACGGGUGAGUAAUACAUCGGAACGUGCCAAGUAGUGGGGGAUAACUACUCGAAAGAGUGGCUAAUACCGCAUGAGAUCUACGGAUGAAAGCAGGGGAUCGCAAAACCUUGUGCUACUAGAGCGGCCGAUGGCAGAUUAGGGUAGUUGGUGGGAUAAAAGCUUACCAAGCCGACGUUCUGUAGCUGGUCUGGGAGGACGAUAGGCCACAUUGGGACGGGAACCCGGCCAGGAUUCUACCGGGGGGAAGAAGGGGGGAUUUUGGACAAUGGGCGAAAGCCUGAUCCAGCAAUGCCGCGUGCAGGAUGAAGGCCUUCGGGUUGUAAACUGCUUUUGUACGGAACGAAAAGCCCCGGGUUAAUACCCUGGGGUCAUGACGGUACCGUAAGAAUAAGCACCGGCUAACUACGUGCCAGCAGCCGCAGUAA
rnacentral:rRNA from 1 species